AUGGGAUCCGCAGCAUGCAGUACCUUGUACGCUAGCGAGCUCUAAAAGCGGUUGCUACAUCCUGCCGACGUGAGACGGUUUCCCAGCCUGGGUUUGGGCCUGCAUUUUUCCGGAUGCCUGCGAGCUGCCUCUGAGCUCACCUCCCGGACCGUCACCGUCCCAGCCUCCUCCAACAAUGCGGGCGUAAGGACUAAGGAGUGUGGACAGUUCAGCGUACAGGGACGUUCACACGUUGGUGCCCCACCCCCUCUCUCCCGUCCCCAGCUCUUUUUCAGAGUCUCACCCUGCAAAUGUGAGCCCGACACACAAGUGAACAACAUGCCUCCUAACGAGGGACACGCGUGUGAUGAGAACGUCUGCGUACCGUAUUGAUUUCUGUUUCUGGAAGCGACGCAGGCCAAAGCCGUCCGUGCCACCGCGGCGUGCUGGUUUACCCGAGCCUGCCCGGGGCGGCCUGCCACGGGUUCUUUCCUGCUGGAGGUGUGAUAGGUUUUGCAAUUGUGGAUUUCUGUCUCUUUGGCUUGGUCCAUGGAUGGGAAGGCACGACAGUGACCUGGGAAGGAAGUUGAUGGCAUGGUGACAGCCCCUGUUCGUAUCCAUACGUGAGUCAUAAACAUCCAUAAAUCACCAAAAUGCCAUAACCACCAUGCUGAUGGAUUUUUAGCCUUAAAGCAGCAAUGUCCUCCCAGCUGACUGUGCAUGAUUAACAGGCUAACGUCUAGACGGCGGUGUGGUUUAUUACUGUGUCCUCAGUCAGCCAGCGACUCGACACGCCGGCAUUAGAGGGAUUCCCCAGCCGGUCACGGGCAGCCCCAGACGAGCCUGGCUGCACGACGUGGAGAAGCGAACCAGCUGUGUGUCCAGGGGGUGGGUGUCACCCAAAGUGAAGGAAGAGGAGAGGAGCUGAGCCACGUGUGCGCAGGUGCUGGUGGCCAAACGACGCAUCAGGACAGUGAAUGUUCCCGGCACAGAGGGAUGACGAGUGUUCGAGAUGACAGGUAAUUCUCCUAUGGCUUCUGGCUGUAACUUUUGUCCCUAAGGUCAUUGCUCUGCUCCUGCCAGCAACUAAGCUGAUACCCUAAUGCUGUCUUCCAGAAAGGCUCUUUCCUUUGUUAUAUUUCGUCUUUAUCCUGGGUCCUGUCCGGAACACUCAGUUUUACUCUCAGAGAUCCAGACCCAUUACAUUGGUCAUGUUCUUUUGGGUCAGAAUAUCAAGGAUUCUUCUGCCUGGAAGAAAAUAUCAGAAACUGGAAACAGCAGUUGCUUCCAGGAAGAGAAUUGAGAGACAAAGGAAAGAAGAAUGGCAAACAGACUUACUCAUUACUGAAUAUAAUUUGUUCUGUUUUUUUUUUUUUUUACCAUGUGCACAAAUAAGAUAGUACAAUUACUUAAAUCUUGACAAAAUCUGUAAAGAAUCUUAAUAGCUAGUUCUGCCACCA